CUGUCUCGAGAGUGUUAUCAAUGGUUGAAUCUCCAGGGGCACGUCAGCAAUAUCAUCGGAUACUUGAGAAGUAUCGGCAAUCUAAGGCUGAACUUGAAGGAGCGGACAGUGAAACAGCAUCAACUGCUCAUGGAGACAUGUCUAACAUGGAAAAUGAUGACAUAUACCAGUUCCCUAGUUAUUAAUCCAACUGACCUCUUCAUUGUCAUCCAAACUAGUAUCAGUAGGUUGAAAAAUUAUACAUUGAAGUUUGGUUAUUGCUAUUUGUAAGUCAUUGUAAGCUAUGUGUUUUGUAGGUGCUGCUGUUCAUAAUUAUGUGUAUAGGUUUGAUAGGCUCAAAACUUGAACUUUAUAAUAUUGUAUGCCUGCAAGAUUAGCUUGAAAGUUUUAUUUUAAAGGGUAAAUACUAG
rnacentral:misc_RNA from 1 species